rnacentral:rRNA from 1 species
UACGUAGGCGGUUAGAUAAGUUGGAUGUGAAAGCCCCGGGCUCAACCUGGGAAUUGCAUUCAAAACUGUCUGACUAGAGUGUAUAAGAGGUUAGCGGAAUUCCAGGUGUAGCAGUGAAAUGCGUAGAUAUCUGGAGGAACAUCAGUGGCGAAGGCGGCUAACUGGUAUAACACUGACGCUGAGGUACGAAAGCGUGGGUAGCGAACG